UCGUGCUAGACGGGGAGCUAGCGGUGCCCUGUACCCGCAAUCCGCUAUAGCGGGGUCGAAUUCCCUCUCGAGGGUCGUGAUUUGCUGGGACUGUUCGGGUCAAGUGGCGAUGAAAACUGGGUCCUGCGCGGCGGAGACCCACAAACCCCGUCAGGUCCGGGAGGAAGCAGCGGUAAGUGGUCAUCUUCGGGUGCCGCAGGGGCGCCUGGUUGGAGCAGGCUGACCUGAGCAAGCCGGUGGGUCCGAAACGACAGGGGGUGCACGA
rnacentral:SRP_RNA from 1 species